rnacentral:rRNA from 1 species
CCAGCUCCAAUAGCGUAUAUUAAAGUUGUUGCAGUUAAAAAGCUCGUAGUUGAAUUUCGGGGUUAGUAGGUUGGUCAUGCCUCUGGUAUGUACUGGUCUCACUGAUUCCUCCUUCCUGAUGAACCGUAAUGCCAUUAAUUUGGUGUUGCGGGGAAUUUGGACUGUUACUUUGAAAAAAUUAGAGUGUUUAAAGCAGGCAUACGCUUGA